AUUGAACGCUGGCGGCAUGCCUUACACAUGCAAGUCGAACGGCAGCACGGGGCAACCUGGUGGCGAGUGGCGAACGGGUGAGUAAUGCAUCGGAACGUACCUUUCAGUGGGGGAUAACGUAGCGAAAGUUACGCUAAUACCGCAUAUUCUGUGAGCAGGAAAGCAGGGGAUCGCAAGACCUUGCGCUGAUUGAGCGGCCGAUGUCAGAUUAGCUAGUUGGUGAGGUAAAGGCUCACCAAGGCGACGAUCUGUAGCGGGGCUGGGAGGAUGAUCCGCCACACUGGAACUGAGACACGGUCCAGACUCCUACGGGAGGCAGCAGUGGGGAAUUUUGGACAAUGGGGGCAACCCUGAUCCAGCCAUGCCGCGUGAGUGAAGAAGGCCUUCGGGUUGUAAAGCUCUUUCGGCCGGGAAGAAAUCGCACGGGCUAAUACCCUGUGUGGAUGACGGUACCGGAAUAAGAAGCACCGGCUAACUACGUGCCAGCCGCCGCGGUAAAAC
rnacentral:rRNA from 1 species